CUGGGCUUUAAGGAGGCCAACUAAGGAGAUAAUGUACCAGAGGCACAUGGUUGCAUAGAGUUAGCUUCCUCUGGGGCAGGUGUCUUCUUGCAGUGGGAAGCGUGGAUCCAGUUAGGCCUUCCGGACAAUUUGACAGAGGUAGGGGAGAUCAGGAGAACUUGGAACGGUCCGUCAAAUCUUGGUUCCAGGGUAUGUUUUCGCACAAAUUUCUUGACCAGAACCCAGUCACCGGGGAGCAGACUGUGGUUGCCUGUGUCAGAAUCAGGAUCUGGAAUUGAAGAGAAAACUUGGGCAUGGAUUUUGUUCAAAGCAUUUGCGAGUUCAGUUACAUAAUCUACUAAAACAUCAGUUUGAAGAUGUAGUUGUUGGGGAAAAUAGCAACCUAGCCU